AUGUAUGCAGGCCAAGAUGCUGAACCUAAUCAAGAUUUGCCUGAGGCAACACAUACGGGUUUAUCUCCAGUGGGUGGAAUGGCGAAAGGGAAGGACCUCACUGGUACAUCCGGUGACAAAUCAUUGUCUGAAGUAGAGCAUCUGUUAAUGCGGAAAACGUUCACCAGGGUUGAGUUUGAUCGUCUCACAGACUUGCUGCGUGCAAGAACUGUAGAGCCUGCUUUGUCUGCGCAAGUGGACCACCACGAGGAUAAGAAUGAAACAAGAACCAGAAUUGAUGGAAUAGGAGGCUCCACAUCUCAUGGGAUGGCUAUAGACCAAUCUCCGCCCGCUGAUGUUCCUAUCCGGGAUGUUAAGUCCCCUGCGGACCUUGCCAAACAAUAUAUGAGCUCCCGUUAUUCAAGAGAACCCCAACAGAGUAGUUUAAGGAGCCAAGUACUUUUUGGUAACAAAGCGGAAGCAAGCAACACUGGCUAUUAUAGGACUUCUGGAGCACCACUUGUUCAGGAGCUGAAUCAAGUCAACAAUGAAAACCCUGUACUUCCUGUGAAUGGCUAUAUGGCUUCAGGAUUACGUGGGCGGUCAGCAAUAUGUAAAAUGUCCCGCUCUCCAUUUUUUAAGGGCCCAAGCUCUUCCAAUGAUAUGAAUGUUUCACCAUUUUCAUUAUCUCAUGCACGAACCCCAAGUUUGGCUGCUGGAGGCAGGCAGGUGUUGAAACGAAGAGGCACAGAGUUUGACAAUGAACUUGGAUCUGUUGGCCCCAUACGCAGGAUUCGUCAGAAGUCGAAUAUGAUGUCUCCUUUUAAAGAUGCUCGUGCUAGUCCUCGGGGAAACUUUCUUCCUACCCGUACUAUUGGUUCAGAUUUUGCCGAAGGCAGUUCACCCCAUCAGGAACCUCCUAGUUCAAAAAGACUACUGCUUGAGUCCGGUCAAUCUCUGCGGACUGUAGAAAGACAGAGACAUAGUGAAGGUGGCAAACCUCCUAAUGAUGAUGUUCCUCCUGUUCCAACUCAACCAAACAAGAUGGCUGAGAAGAUAUUUGAGCAGCUUAACAUAAUAGCUCCAUCACCAAAGGGCAAACAGUCUGGCAAACAAUCUGUUGCUUGGGAACCAAGGCAAUCCAUGUCCAAUGGGCCAAAGGGUGUAAGUGACCCCAGUAGUUCCCGACAAUUUCAAGAUUUGGAUGGAGUUAAUCAUCCCCAUGAUUCUGAUCUGAAUGGUUCUACAUUGAAUAAAGACAAGCUGAUGAAAGAUAGAUCAUCAAAAGUUCAUUCCAAUACGUUUCAUCAGGAUUUAGGCAACAGAGACAUGAAGUCUGAUCAUGUUGCUAUUCUUAAUAAGCCUGCCAUUUCGGGGAAUUCAGUUUCUGCUACUACAUCACGGAAACCAGGUUUCAAAAUGGCUGUUUUUGAGGAUUUAACUGAGUUUGACGAUGAUCUGGAAGCCCCCGUCCCAUCAAAGAAUUCAAAAUUUGAGACAGAUGUGAAGGCAACUGAGCAGAAGUUUGAUUCAAAGAUGAAGGAGCGGAAAGUUCAACAUGUUACAUUUGAGCAGAAAGUUGAAUCAACCUCAUCGAAGCAGAAUGUUAUCAAUUCUUCAGUUACUGAACAGCCUAGAACAUCCACAUCAAAAGAUGUCUCUACACCCGGCUUGUUUUCGUCCAGUGAUACUGAAAAGAAGGGCACCCCCAAUGUUCCCUCAAAUAACAACACUGGUUUUACGUUUCAACAUGUACCUCCUGCAGACCGUCCUGAGGGUACUGCUUCAGCAGUUCCACUUGCUUCAAAUAAAGACGAUAAACAGACCAGCGCUUCACCUUUUAUGUUUGGUGCCAAGCCAUCCAGUACAUCAGAUUUGGAAACAUCAACAACCGCUGGUGUAAAAACCAAAGGAAGACUUGGGGAGAGUGUCACGAAGCCCGCAUCAUUGGACACACCUAAUUUGGAGCAAGGCAAUGGAAGGGAAGGAGCUGGAGAUAUCCAUAAGUCAUCUGACAAGGUGUUGCCUACGGCUGCACCAACAUUGACUCCACCUCUCCAUUUUGCUUCUGCUGCAUCUACUUCACCGGGCCUGAGCAAUGGCUUGUCGCACACAUCACCACCGAAGUUGUCAAAUACCACGCCCACUGAUAAACCUGCUGUCAGCACCGCUCCAUUAACUACCAUUGCCGACUUCUCUGUAUCCAGCAGCAGUCCACCUGUUUCAUCUUCGGUUCCUGCAUUUCCAACUAUCAAUUUUGGCUCCAGCACUCCAACGGUAGCAGCACCAAAACCAGAGACCACAUCCACAGAGACAAAGCCAGCUAGCACUUCACUCUUCGGUACCGUGGGUGCUACAGCUGAAUCCAAGUCUAAAGCCCUAGAAUCAGCCAGCAAGGCAUCAUCCAAUUUGAAUACUGCGUCCAUUUUCUCAUCAAAUAUCACAACCUUUUCGAGUUCUCCAGUCACAUCCUCUUCUUUCUCGAGCACUGCAACAUUUUCGUCUUCUCCUGUUGCAUCCUUUAGUGUUGGAACUGCACCAGCUAAUUCUACACCAUCUACUACAUCUGCUGUCCAGUCCGCUUCAACGGCAGCGUUUGCAUUCUCGAGCUCAGGAAACAGCAUAUUUGGGUUCAGUUCUCCAUCUCAAUCUACUGGUCUGAGCACAACUGUUGGUGGCAGUACCUCUCAACCAUCUCCUGCUAGCACGAUCUUUGGUAGCAAGCUGCCACAGCCACAGGGCACAAUGUCACAGCCGCCUCAGAGUUCAGCCACGCAGUUUAGCUCUUCGUUCCCGAUUGUGGCUAGUGGAGCGGCAGCUUCGUCAUCGGGACCUGGCACUGUCUCUUUCGGAGUGAGAGCUUCUCCCCCUGGGACCUUGUUUGGAGCAGGAGCAUCUUCAUCUGGUCCUGGUACCGUGUCUUUUGGAGCGGGGGCUUCCUCAUCAGGAGGUCCAGGGAGUGUUUCUAUUGGAGUAGGAGCUUCCUCAUCUGGCACUGGUGUCUUCUCGUUUGGAGCAGGGGUUUCGUCAUCUGGAGCUGGGACUGUAUCUUUUGGAGCGACGCCUUCCUCAUCUGGACCUGGGACUAUGACUUUUGGAGGGACAGCUUCCUCAUCUGGACCUGGAACUGUGUCUUUUGGCGUGACAACUUCCUCUUCCGGGCCUGUGUUUGGUAAUUCACCGUUUGGAUCUGGAGCUGCCGCCUUCUCUGGAUCUGGAAGUGGGUUUGCAUUUUCAUCACCUAGCUCUUCCACUGCCUCGUCCUUGGCAGUGGCUAGUACAAGUAUGUUCAGCAGUAGCUCCACGGCUUCAUCGUCCGCUGCUCUCAGCAACCCUUUUGGUUCAGCUUCGUCCUCUCCCAGCAUGUUUACAUUUGGACAAUCAGCAUCUUCAGGGGGCGCGUUUUCAUUUGGAGCACAGUCAGCUCCAGCUUUCUCAUCGCAAGCUCCUCCAGUUUAUUCGUUUACCUCGGCGAGCGCAAGCAUGAAUUUGUCUACACCACAACCUGCAUUUGGGAUGACAAAUGCCAACACAGGCUUCGGAAUGGGAUCUCCUGGAAAUGACCAGAUGAGUAUGGAAGACAGCAUGGCUGAUGACACUAACCAAGCAGCACCCCCGCAAGUGUCUGCACCAGUGUUUGGUUCUUCGUUAUUUGGGCAGCCAGCUAGUUCACCCGCCGCUCCAGUAUUUGGGCAGCCAGCUAGUUCACCGGCCACUCCAGUAUUUGGUGCUCCAGCUGCCCAGCCUGCGGGAGCUUUCCAGUUUGGCGGUCAACAAGGCUCGGUGCAGCAGAACCCGGCAUUCCCAACUGGUGGUAGCUUAGAGUUUCAGGGCGGGAACUUCUCGUUGGGCAGCAUGGGCGGCGACAAGUCCAACAGGCGGAUCAUCAAGGCCAAGAGGACACAGAAGAAAAGGUAG
rnacentral:rRNA from 1 species